CAGCCCGAUGCUUGCUGGCUGUUGCCAUAGUUUCUGUGUACACAUCGCUGUCCACUGCACUCCACUUCCUGCUGAGAUUGUAGCUGAAUGUACCCUCUCACCUGAGGCCAAUUGCACCACAGACGCUGCUUCACGUAAACACUGUGCAUGAAGUGGCCAGUGUCACAGAAGAGGAAAGCAAGGUCCGCGAGGAUGACCUGAGAACUCAAGGUUACCCCGCUGGAGAUGAAAUGCUGAAUGGCCACCAAGAUGGAGAGGCUGGAAGGAUGAAGAUAGUUACCAGAGAUGAGGACGGAGUCUCUGAGAGCAAUUCAGAUCUGCA